GUACUUCUUCGCCACACCGCCUCCCGCAGCGGCCAGCGCCAUCGUCAGCGCGGCCGUCAGGGUCGUCUUCCCGUGGUCGACGUGCCCGAUGGUGCCGAUGUUCACAUGGGGCUUCGUCCUCUCGUACUUCUCACGAGCAGCGCGCACCACCAAUGUCGACGCGCCCUUCCUGCCCUUGGCCUCCGCGGCGCCUCCCAUCACCACUUGCCCCACGAACGACGACGGGCUCAGAACCGCCACCCUCACGCUGGGCGCGGCAUUGCCACGGGCAGCGCUGCUGCCGGCAACGCACCCAGAAACCGCAGCGCGGCUGACAUCCGCGACGCAAGCCAUGCCUUCAAAUCUCAAAUCUCAAACUUGACGAAGCCUAGCUGACUGAGUGACAGAAGACUCUAAAUUGAAGAUGGGUCUGCGAGAGCACCACUCAGACGAAAGAGCGCAGGGCCGUGAGGCAAGACUGAUUUUUCGCAAUGGAGAGCAUUGAGGACAUGGGGGGGUGCUGUAUGCAGGGGAGCGAGCCUGCUGAUGGGGUGGUGCCAUGGGUCUGUGCACCCCAGGAUGUGGAUAAGGCGCUCCAACUUUGUUCCUGGCUUGGAUUAGCGACCUCAUCCUCUUCGGUGACGCCCUGCGCUUUGCCCACUUCGCGCUCCCCUGCUUGAGUUCGCGAAGUAGGGUGCGGGGCGAAUGGUGGACACGGACGCUUCUCGCACCCUUGUGUGCCUGUGGAACCAUGCCGGCCCUUCGUUACUCCUUCAAAGUUAGGACUGUAAUUGCUCGCCUUUGUUCCAAGGCUUGGGAACUGAAACAUUUUCACAUUUUGAGCUGCCUAUAUAUUAAUCAAGGACCAUUGUGGUUGAGUGGUUUUGGUUUGGAUGAUUGUUGGGUUUAAACAUGUACGAAAAAUGCAUAAUAAGUUGUUUAAAUUAAUAUGCUUCGGAGCUUCCUAUGAUGCUUUUAGCAAGAGUUUCUGUGUGCAUUUUGCAUGCAUCAAUGCUUAAUGAAUUCCAUUAUUUUUAUUUUUUUUAUUCGUUUCCUUCACUAUCCUUGUAAUAUAUUUUUUGAAAACAUGAAACAUGAAUUACAUGUGUUAAAAUGUUGAUUGCUAUAUAAUUUUACACAGUAAUACUAGUUAGAUAUUUUGGUAUUAAAUUUGAUUUCAGUGAAGAUCGGAUUGACUUACCAAAUGGAAAUAUUGAAUAUAUCAUAUAAAGAGACAGAUUGUCAUGUCGAUAAUUGUAGAAGUUAUUGUAUGGUUUUUAAACGGAAAAAAUUCUUUAAUCUUGAAUUUUUAUGAAAUUCAUUAGGACGAAUCUAUGGAAGUUUGAUACUCUAGUUUCACCAAGUCAAUUACAUAAUUAAUUAACAAAAUCAAUUGUAAAUAGCUGUAAAUGAUAUCUUAAAUUAAAAAGUAAAAGUUACAUUGAAUAUAUUAGAAUGCAUCUCAUAGUUAAAAUUCUUUUUUCAUAUCCAUGACUUAGUAAUAAAACUUUGUAAAAACAACAAAGAAUGACUUGAAUUAAAAAUUGGUAUUUGAGAAUAGAUACCAUGUGAUGAAAAUAUGUACUAAGUUUUAAUACAAAUAAUUUAUUUCUUAAGGAUCAAUUCAAAUUAAUAUAUAAGUAAACUAAAGUCUAUAAGAUUUGAUACUUUGUGUAAUUUUUUAAUAUUAAUGAGUGAUUACAAUCUAUCAAAUAUGGUUGUUUAAAUUAUUUUCUAUUCUUAAGUACUAAGGUUAGUUUCUCACUUUUAUAUUUAAUUAUUAUGAUUCAAUUAAAAUUUAAAAAGAUUAUCUUUUUCUAAAUUCAAAGGAAAUUUAUUUAUUUAAACUAUUUUUUAGAUAGUAGUUCAAAUCAACAUAAAAAAAUCAGAUUUUUUUUAAUUUAUGAUUUAUAUUAAAAUUUACAAAUCAAAAAAACAUCUACAAUAAUGACAAACAAUUGAACUAAUGACCAAUGACAUACUAAUAAGUUGUAAAUGAGUUGUAAAUUUAAUCAAGACCUACGAAGAUGUACUUUUGAUAACUACAACAAUAAUGAUGCUAACCUAAUUUUAAAAUGAUGUUAACUUUAUUUUUUAUUUUUUAGAAAAAUAAAAUUUAAAAAUUCAUUUAUAAUAAGAGAUAUUCUUUUACUUCCAAAAUAAAAAUAAAAACAAAAAUAAUUAUAGUUUAACAAGACAUAACCUCUACAUUAAAAUUUUAGAUAGUUAAUAUUUUAUUUUUUAAAAUAUAAUGCCAAAAAUCUAGGCAAGGUAGUUUUAAGUGGGAACUUCUAUUGUAUCUAUUAGAAAUUAUUAAUAUUAGAUAUUUUAAAAACUACCUAACCUAGAUAUAACUUAAGUUAAAUUUAACCUUCGUUACCUGCCUACAUUUUAAACCUAUCUUGCCUAUUAAAUAAUGCCAAAAAUUCAGGAAAAUCGGAUCAAAUUUAGAAAAUAUCUAAUAUUUGAUAUUAAAAAGGUCUAAUAUCAAUUAUAAUAAUGUCUAAUAUUAACAGAUAAUAUGAAAUAUCAAAAUUUAUUAAUUCUAUAAUGUAAAUAAUAAAUAAAGAAUAUUCAUUUUUACAUUCAAGUCAAUACUAGUUAGAUUCUCCUAAUGUCUUGUAAUAUGCACAAGACCAUUACAAUAAUGUUUGCAAAGCUUUAAUUUAAUAAACUAACAUCCAAAAAUUGACAAUAAAGUUCAUUGAAAUUUAUCUAAUCAUAAAUAUAUAUAUAUAUAUAUAUAUAUAUAUAGUAAAUGUAAUAAAUCGUAAUCAUCAUAUGAUUAUAUAAAAUAUCAGUUAAUACAUCUGCUUAAUAUCACAUUACAUAUCUUGUACAUAUUAAGAGGUCAUCUAAUUGGACAUUGGUUACCAAGUUUUGUAAGUUUUUUAUUCUAAGAUUCAAAAAUAUUACCUUUAAAUCUAUUGCAAAAAUUCAAUCAUGUGUAAUGAAUAAUAUGUGUAAUUAAUUUUUAUUAUUCUAAUUCUAAAUAUAUGUAUAAGUAACUAGAUUCAUAAUUUUUUUUUAAGAUAUGAAAAAACUUUAAUAUAUAAUACAAGAUAAUAUUAGCAUAUCAAGUUAUUUUUACAUAAUAAAUAAUAAGACAUAAAAAUCCUGUAAACAACUAUUUUAAAAAAUAAUAAUGAAUAUUAGAAGAUAAAAAAUUUAAAUAAUUUUUAUAUAAUCUUGAUUUUUUUAAAAUAAAUCAUAAAUUAAUUAAUUAAUUAAUAUACAUAAAUACAAAUAUAAUAAACUAAAAAUCGUAAUUAAAAUUUUCAUAUUUAAAUAAAAUUUCAAUAAAUUCAUCAAUCAUAAUUGGCUUUUGAUUAAUUUUUUUAAGUAUUAUCAAUAAUCUAUUGACCUUAACACCAAGAAAUUAUUGCAUAGAACCAAGUUUGAGUAAAGAAUUAGAGAAAUAAACAUUAAAAAAUUAUUUAAAUAUAACUAUAUAUAUAUAUAUAUAUAUAUAUAGAUAUAAUAUAAGAAAUAAGUAAUAUAUAUUUGGUUGAUAAAACUCUUCUUACUAAAUAUCACAAAAGCUCUCUAACUAAGCAUUUGACAUAUAAUUGUCUCUAAUUGAUUUGCAAACACAAAUACUACUUAUAAAAAAAUUUAGAAACUUAAAAUUUAUAGUUAAAGCAUCUCACAAAUUAUAUAUUUUCUUUUAAAUAUAUAUUUUAAAAAAUUAAAUGCUAUUUCUUUAUCUAUUGUAUGAAGCAAUAAAAAAUUUAUCUUCGUUAAUUUUAAUUUAUUUAUCUUUUUUUUAGCUAUUGAAUGAAAAAUUUAUGGUUUUUUAAUUUAACAUAACCACGUUAUUUAUUUUUAUUUUUUAAAAUAUAAAAUUUCUAUUAUUAUUAUUUUUCUAUCCUUUAUUUAGAGUAUCUUAUAAUUUAUUUAUAAUUAUUGAUUCUUUCUUGAUUGAUUUAAGAUAACUCAAAGUUAUUGAAAAAUUAUUAAAAUUUUUUAUUAUAGUUUUUUUUAUAUAACACUAGAAUUAUUUAGUUUAUAAAAAUUCUUGUAGAAGUUUUAUAACUCUUGAAUAUUACAAAAUUCAAUAUUAUUUAUACUAUAUCAAUAAAUGGAGUUUUAUCUUAUAAAAUAGAAAAACAUUAAAUAUGUGCCAAAUUCAAAACCUUUUUAAAGAACCUUAUGAAAAAUAUAACUAAAUAAAAAAAUAUUAAAUAAAUCUCAAAGAUGUAAUAAAUAAUAGUUUUAUUAGAAAUAUAUGUUAAUUAUAAUCUUAUACAUAUUAUUAUAACAUUCAUAACAAUUAAAUUAUGGUAAAUUAUUUUUAAGAAUAAAUUGCAAGACCAAGUUUCUUCUAUUACUUGUAAGUUUUUAUAUUAUCUUAUACAUAUUAAUCUUCAGUUCUAAUAUUGUAAGUCAAUUUUUAUUUUUUUAAGAAUCACAUAAAAUAAUUUAUUUAAAAAUAUGUAAUAUUAUAAAUUUUUUUGUAGAUGAAACUAAAAAAACUCAAAUAUAAAUAAAUAUAAGCAAUUGAACCAUCUAAUUAAAGUAUUAAUUUACUCUUAUCAUCUAUCAACUUGAAAAUAAAAAAACAAUUGUGUAAUAUAUUCACUAAUACAAUAAUUAACUUCUUAUAAUUUAUAUGUUAGAGAUUUAGAACUUCAAUCAAGAAGGAAAAGCUACAAAGAUAAUAAUAAAUGAUUAUUGUCAAGAAUAAAAAGGCCUAAAGACCACAAGAAGAAUUAACUCAAAAAAUGAAUUGAUCUAUUAUACUUUAGAAGAUUCUUUAAAGGUUCUAAAAUCUUUUAAGUAUGUCCAUUACAUUGCCUAACUCUGAGCAACAAAUUCCACAACAAGAAUUGAUAUUUUUUUCUUUGUAUUUGUAAAAAAUCCAAUAUUUAUCAUUUUUUAAAAUUAAAAUUUAUUUUUUAAAAAUUUCUAUUCAAUGGAUGAAUAGAUUCUUCCAAUAUUUUGAUGAUCCAACUUCAUAUUAAAAAUGUCUACUAUAUAGUAAUUGAUGUGAUUGUUGAUGUGGUUGAUCCUUCAAUGAAACUUCGAGCUUAUGAUUUUUAAGCCCUAUAAGAAUCUUCUAAUUUAACAUAUUAAAGUUACACCAAUAUAAUUUCAAAAUACAACUUAAAUACUAAAUAAUCAAAAUAUAAAAUAUAAUGCACUAAUGAUGUUAUUGGUUGAAUCUUUCAUUCUUAUAUUUGAUUUGAUAUUGGAGAUUCUUCUUGAAGUCAUUUUUAUUAAAAUCAUAAUUAUGACAUCAUGAUCUUUGAUGACUUGGCUUGAGUUUGUAAUAAUAACAAUAAUUAAAGUCUGAUAUCUUCACUAAUAUAAUAAUACAAUUAGAUGAAGGAUCCCAUAAUCAUUCUUUGAUGUGGUAAUUUUUAUAAUUUAUAAUAUAUUUUAUUUUUUUAUUUUUUAUUUAUAUAUUAAUAAUUUCUUUAAUUUCAUAUUCAUCUUCACAAUCAAUUUUAACUAAAGAUAGAAUUAGAAGUUUUCUUCUUAAAAUUUUUGAAUGAUUAUUAAUAUUUAAUCAAGAAAUAUAAAAGACUAGAUGGACUUUUAUAGUUGUUGAAAGUUUAAGAUAAUGACUAACCUCAUUAAUUUGUUGUAUGAUAUCAAAUGGUUCCAACCUUUGAUAGUCUAACUUCUUUAAUAGUUGCUUUGUUUGAAUGUUUUUUUUUCAAAAUUCAUACUUUACUUCCCAUUUUGAAAAUUGGUUGAACUUUUUGUUGACAAUCUAUAUAGUCUUUGAAUUAAUCUUAAACGUUUGUAGUUGAUAUAUCAACUCUUAAUGAAUUUUUGCACAGUUUACAAAGAAUGGUGUUUGUUUAAUUGGUGAAUCUAUAGUAUUAUUAUAAAAAAAUUCUACAAGUAAAAACUUGGUUUAAUUGUCUUUUUGAUAAUUUAUGUGCAACAAAGUUAUUGCUUCAAAAUUAAAUUUGAAUAUUGUUUUGAUCAUCAAUUUGCUGUUGAUAUCGUAAAGAAAGAUUGAUCUUAUCUUUUCAGAUCUAAAAUAAGUUCUUCUAAAAGUAAGAGAUAAAUUGUGUACUUUAUUCUAAUCCAAUAUCAUUAAUAAGUCUAUAAAGUUAAAUAAAUAUUAUCAAAAAAUAAUUUAGAAAUUUGUUUUUUAGUUUAAAAUGUAAUAUAUAAUAUAAAUUAUUUUAUCUUGAAUAACCAAUUGACUACCAAAAAAAUAAAAUCUUUUGAAUUAAAAAUUUAAAGACUAAUUAUAAAAUCUAUAUACAUAAAUAAUUAUUGGCUUUUAAGUAUAGAAAGUAGAUAAAGGAGCUUAUAUUAUUGAUGUCUUGGUAAUUUUGCUCUUAAAUAAGUAUCACAUGGUUUUAUAAAAUCUUUUAUAAAUUUCUACAUUUGAGGCUACCAAUAAUUUUUAGAUAUCAAUUCUAUAAUCUUGUAGGAAUCAAAGUAUUAAGCAAUUAAAAAAUUAAAUCAUAAUUAUAAGAUCUUCAAGUGUAUCAAUCUAAAAAAUACAUAUAAAAGUAUAUUUUAAUAAAUUAAAUCUCUUUUAAACCUUUAAAAAGACUUUUCUUAAUACUUAAAGGUUUUUUAAUAUGCACAAUAGAUAGAUGUUAUUUGAUAGUUUUAAAAUAUUGCAUGUCUUUAGACAAAGGCAAAGUCAAUGCUUUAAUUUGAAAAUUGGAUGGCUUCAAUAUUAUUGAAUUUUAUUUAUCUAAAAUAUCAUCACUUGAUUUUUAGAACCAUAUAUGAUUGUUAAGAUAGAAUAUUUGGGUUUUUUUAUUUUAAGAUUUCUAUAUUUAUAAGGAAUUAAAAAAUAAAAAUAUAACAAUGACAUACUCCAAUGUAUUUGCUAAUAAUUCAAAACUUAUUCACUUAUAAAACACUCAAGAUUCUUAUGAUUUGUAUAUCCUAUGAUUGUAUAUUGAAUUCCUCUCAAAAAAAUGUUGUCAAUCUUCAAAUGUAUCAAUAAUGGUAAGAAGUUUUUUAUCAUAGAACUCAUAGUAUAUUUUAGUUGCAAAGAACUUAAAAGAUUAGAAGGCCAUGUAAUGAAAUUUUUUAUCUUCUCCAUAUUGAAAUUAUAUUAAUUCUAUAGCAAAUUCUGAUGCAUCUACCUCCAUAAAAAAUGGUUCUAAUAAAUUUGAAAAAUUUGAUAUUGAAGUUGGUAUAAAAGAUUUCUUUAAUAUCUUCAAAACAUAUUUUAUUUUUCCAUCUUGAAAGAAUAUUUUUUGUUCAUUUAGUUGUAUAAGUAAUACAAUGAUUGUCACAGAUAUACAUAUGUACUCUAAUAAAUACCUAUAUGAUUAGAUAGAAGUAGGUAAAAAUAUUUAAAAGUAGUUUAAUUUCAUGAUAUCUUUUAGAGAAGCUUUCUUGAAGCUUGAUAGAUACUGCUUUAAUUUAACAUGUGUUUAUAGUUGAUUGAUAGACUAGAAACAUGGUCAUUAAGUUAAUCACAUAUUAGUAGCUUACAAAACAAGCUAAUUAUGCGACGCACAUAUAAAAAACUUAUUUUGCAAAUUAGGAUAUGUAUCUUGCAAAUUCAACAUGUUUUGGAGGUCUUAUAGGACAUUAUCACAUAGUUGUUUGUUAAGAGUAUAUAUAGAGGCAAAAGUGAAGCUUUCUUUACUCUUGUCAAUGCCUUUGUAGUCCUUAGUCUUGUUUCAAGACUUUCUAGUCUUCUUGUUUUUGGCAAUAGGCAUUCUAGUUCAAUAUUAUUUCAUCUUUGAGUGACUUUCUAGAUCUUUUCAGUGACACAAGAGUGUAUUAAAAAAAUUCUUUCUUUGAAAUUCAUUUCCUUGAAAAUGAUCUUACAAUAAUCUUUAAUAAAUAUUUAAUAGAAAUUUACAAAAUUAUAUAAAUAUUAAACAUCUUAUAUUGAUGUUGGCAUUUUUUAUUCUAAAAACUUUUGUAUCCUCUUAUCCAUAGUAAUUUCUUCUUUAGAAAAUAAUAUAUUCUAAAAAUUUCACCAAAAACUUAUAAAAGAGAUAUUUCUCUAAUUUGGCUUAAGAUACUAUUUUUUAUAACUUCUCCAAAACAAGUCUUAUAAAUUAUUUAUAUUUUUCAUCAUUAUUUGAAUAUAUUUAGAUAGCUUUUAUAUAAAUGACUAUAAAAUCAUUUUUAAAAUAUCUAAAUAUAUCAUUUAUUAUGUGUUGAAAAAUAAAAAUGACGUGAAUGAGGCCAAAUAGCAUAACAUUAUAUUUAAAAUGACCAUACCUUGUUCAAAAGAAAAUUUUAGACUUAUUUCUUAUUUUAAUGUGAAAAAUAUUUUGAGAUCCUUGAAGGUGAAUCUUUGUGAAGAUGUGAGCUUUUUUAAGUUAUUUUUAAAAUCUUGAUAUUAAUGCCAAGGGAUGUCUAUUAUUCUUUAUAAUCUUCUUAAGAUUAUAACAGUCAAUACACCUUUAAAGAGAACCAUCUUUCUUCUUUUUAAAUAAGAUUGGUACUUUGAUGUAAUCAUUAAAUUGAAUUUAAAUUCAUAAAAUAAAUUUAAGAUAAAUAGAUGCACAAGCCUAUAAAUAAAUUUUCAUUAAUAUAUUAGAAUGCUUACAAUAUUUUUAAAUAUAUAAACUUUGUUUUAUUUUUCAAAACUUCAAAUCAUCUAAAACACCUCUUACUUUAAAAUACUACCAAAAUUUUAAUAUUAAUCUAAAUCACUCAAUAAUAUAUCAAUUAAAUUCUAAAAAUUAUUUUCUCUAACAUUAUUUUUUUAUCAACAAAAGAACCUUAGAUUUGCUAUCGAUGCAUACUUUUGUCCUAUAUAAUCUAAUAUCAACCCAAGUUCAUAACCUAUCUUCUCUAAGUAUCAACAUCUAGUUUUUUUUUAGGUAAUUUCUCCUAAAAGCUAUUAUUUACUCCUAUCAUAAGAUGCUUAUAAUAAUAAUUUUUUAAUCUACCUUAUUUUGUUACAUUUUAGCUAUAUAAAAUAUGUAAAAGCUUAUUUAUAUAAAAAAAAGUAGUAUUAUCACUUAUUAGUUUUAUUACCUCGACUAUUAUCUAUAUUUUCAUGGAUUCAUGUCUUGAAUAAUAAAUUUCCAUACUCUUAAAAUGAGGCGUCAUUGUUUGGUUUUCUCAUCUCCAACCAAGUCUUUAUUCUUAAUGGCUUUUAAAUAGCCAAUUAUUACAUACAAUUACUUGAGAAAUAAAUUACUCUAAAGAUAUAGUUUUUGGUAUUAUCAAUAAUAAAUCUUAUAUUGUCUUUCAAUCUAUUUCAAUUUUUUAGAUAAAGAUUUUGUCAUUCUAAUUCAUAUCACAUGUAAGUUAUUGAAAUCUAAUAGCUUAUAUGACAAAAAAAUAUAAUUCUAAUUGCAAAGAUUGAAGUUCGGUUUUUGCUACUGUGUUUUAAAUAUUAUUUUUAAGUACAACAAUAAAUUUAGAUCUUAUACCAUUAAUUCUUUUCAGUAUAUUAAUCUUUAUAUCUUUUAAACUUGUUAGAAAAAAAACUAUAGAAUCUAAUUUUGUAGCAUAUUCAUUUGUACUUGUUUCUUGUAACUACAAAAUUUCUUAAUAUACACUUUGAAAUUAAUUGUAAACAUCUUCUAUAGAUAUUGAAACAGGGUUUCUAAAUUUGAAUUUUCUUAAAUACAAAAUUUUAAUUAAAAUUAUAUUAAAAAUAUGAUGAAGACUUGCAAUUGUAACAAAUCUAUUGUUACUUUCUUCAUGUGUAUUAUGCUUUACUUCCAUUUACAAUAGUUUUCUUAGUAAAAAUAGUAUUCAAAAAGUGAGACGAUUUGCUGUCACGGCCAUAAUCAUGUAAGCUAAUAAUUACAUAUAGAAAUAGGUAGAAGUAAGUAAAAGUAGAUAAAAGUAAGUUAAUUCUAUAAUAUUUAAUAUAGAAGCUUCCUAGAAACUUUCUAGACGCUGCUUUGACUUCAUAGGUGUCUUUAAUUGACUUUUUGGAUUAGAAACGUGGUCAACAAGUUGGCCAUGUGCCACAUAUGUUGUUAGCUUGAAGAUCAAGCUAACUAUGUCGCCCACACGUAGAAAAACUUGCCUUGUAAGUCAAGGCAUGUGUCCUACAAAGUCAACACAUAUUGGAGGUCCUAUAGAACGUCGCCACAUAGCCCCUAGUUAGAUAGUAUAUAUAGAGACAAGAGUGAAGGCUUCUUCACUCUUGUCAACUCCUUUCUUGCUUCUAGUCUAGUUUCAAGGGUCUCUAGUUUUCUUGUCUUUUGGCAAUAGCCAUUCUAGUUUCUCUUUUCAAUAUACAUACUUAUUAUUCAUAUUUUGUUACUUUUCUUUGAGUGAAGGCUUACUUGUCUGAACUGUUUUUUCAUCGAGUUGUUGUCCAUGACAGAUUGACAAGAGUACAUUUACAAUAUCAGAGCUUUGUUUUUUCUUGAGUAAGAGUGGAUUACUCCUUUCUCUUGACAAGGCAUAAGCGUAUUGGAAGUUUGCGGAUUACCCACUUCUAAACUGAUAUUAUUCUUAGUAUCUUCUUUGUUAUCAAGUCUUUUUUUUCUUUUGUCUUGAACAGUAUCAAACAAAUUUUUCUUCUUAGUAUUAUAAUGGCAGAGCUUGUUGAAAUGAAGAGUGCAAUGGCACAAAUCCAAGAGCAAAUGAGGGAGUUAAUGCUUGCGAUGCAUCAACUCAAUUCACCAAUACAGGAAAGAACAAGAAUGGCAGAAAGUGGGGAUAUAGAGAUGAUCGGAGCUGCUUCAACAUCUACAACAAAUCACGUUCCUUCUCCAAUUGUACAACACCCUGUAAGCACUAGAGAACCAAGAAUUGCCUUACCCGAGAAAUUUGAUGGUACGAGAUCUAAGUUUCGAGGGUUCAUCAAUCAAGUACAAUUGGCAAUUGAACUUCAACCGCAAAGCUAUCCAACUCCAGGAUCACAAGUCAGGUUUAUUGGCACUCUACUUUCUGGUUCUGCAUUAUCAUGGUUUUCGUCUUUUCUUGAACAACGAAAUCCAAUAUUGGACAAUUUGAAAGCUUUUUUGGCGGAGUUUCGAUCUAUGUAUGGUGAACACGAUGCAACUCGUGUUGCAACAAAUAAGAUCCAAAUUCUGCGACAAAGAAAUCGCUCAGUAACAGUGUAUGCUUCACAAUUUCGACAACUUGCAAUUGACAUCAAGUGGGAUGAUGCUGCACUCAUUAGUCAAUUUCUUUAUGGAUUGCAAUACGAAGUAAAGAAAUUGAUGCUCAACUUACCUGAUCCUCAAACUUUGAGUCAAGCAAUCGAUUUUGCGGUAAAAUGUGAUAAUCGACUUUUUGAAUUUCAAUCUGAGAAUCAUUCACGGGAACCUCAACGAUAUUACUCAAUGGCAACAUCAACAUCUUUGCCAAACGUACAUUCGGAAGUAGAAGACAUACAAAUUGACGCGGUACGUUUUAAACCCCUAACUGAGCAAGAAAAGAUUCGUCGUCGUCAAGAAGGAUUAUGUUUAUAUUGCGGAGAACCUAAGCACACUGCUCAACAUUGUCCAAAGGAACGACGCAACUAUAAAAUGAGGGGUAAGACGGUCAAAGAAGACAACAUGUCGGAAAACAGAUUCGUCCAGCUACAAUAGGGACCGUGCAGCUGGAACCUUGUACAAUUCCUAAUGAAGGUCCUAUCCUCUCCUCAGAACCCUCUCCUUGUUUUAUAAUAGACUUAUAUUUAGGACCUAAGAAUUACAAAGCCUCUGCUCUAUUAGAUUCGGGAGCCUCAGCAUGUUUUUUAGAUGAACAAUUUGUUAAAAGUCGUAAAAUACCCUUUGUACAGAAACCUAAACCAGUACAUGUAGAAGUCAUAGAUGGUCGUCCCUUGUCUUCUGGAGAUGUCACUCAUGAAACUCAUCCUAUAAAAGUAACAAUAGACGGUCAUGAUAGCUAGAUAACUUUUAACAUAAUUAAAUCCCUGUCCAAUCCAGUUAUUUUAGGUUUAUCUUGGCUAGAAAAAUAUAACCCUCGAAUAGAUUGGAAUUCUCGUAAACUUGACUUUUCCCAAAGCAUUAUUAAUAGUUCUACCGACGAAGUAAAAAGUUAUAAAUCUAGUUUAGUAAAACCCGUACUGAUAGGUGCAAAAGCAUUUAUACACGCAGCAAAAGAAGGAUCAACUUUUGCUAUUUAUGCUGCACCUAUUUCUGAAAACGUAAAGACUUCAAGUGGCAUUCCAAGUCAAUAUCAGGAGUAUCAAGACGUUUUUGAGAAAAAGAAUGCAGAUAUUCUUCCUGAGCAUCGCCCAUAUGAUUGUUCAAUCGACCUCAAGGAAGGAACUCAGCCACCAUUUGGACCAAUUUACAGUUUAUCGCAAGAUGAGAUGGCUGAACUCAAGACAUAUAUUGACGAGAAUUUAGCGAAGAAUUUCAUACGCCAUUCAAAAUCUCCAGCAGGAGCUCCAAUUCUAUUCGUAAAGAAAAAAGAUGGAUCUUUACGAAUGUGUGUUGAUUAUCGAGGACUCAACAAGAUCACAAUCAAGAACAGGUAUCCAUUACCUUUGAUAUCAGGACUCCUUGACCAGUUGAAUCAAGCUAAGAUCUAUACAAAAAUAGAUCUAAGAGGAGCAUAUAAUCUAGUACGGAUCAAAGAAGGAGAUGAAUGGAAGACUGCGUUUCGAACCAGGUAUGGACAUUUCGAAUAUAAUGUCAUGCCCUUUGGACUCACGAAUGCACCAGCUGCUUUUCAACAUCUCAUGAAUGAUAUAUUUCGUGAAUUCUUAGACAAUUUUGUCGUCUGCUAUCUAGACGAUAUCCUGAUCUAUUCCAAGAACGUCGAAGAACAUGAAAUACAUGUUCGUCAAGUAUUACAAAAACUUAGAGAUGCAGGAUUGUAUGCCAAGAUGGAAAAGUGUGUAUUUCACACUACUCAAGUUGACUUUUUAGGAUACAUCAUUUCAAAUGAUGGUCUCAUGAUGGAUUCUAAGAAAGUCCAAACAAUCGUGGAUUGGAAGAUUCCAAGGACGGUAAGAGAUGUCCAAUGUUUCUUGGGAUUUGCCAAUUACUAUCGGAUCUUCAUCAAAGAUUUCUCACGAGUUGCAGCUCCACUUACACGCUUGACUAGUAAAGAUAAAUUUCAAUGGAAUCAAGAAGCGGAAGCAGCAUUUGAAGCCUUGAAGACAUCGUUUGUCUCUGCACCAGUCUUAUAUCGUAUUGACUUUUCCAAGGCAUUUUUUAUGGAAACAGAUGCAUCAGAUUUUGCCUUGGGUGCAGUUUUAUCACAAAUGGGAACAGAUGACAAACUUCAUCCGAUAGCUUUUCAUUCAAGAAAAUUCUCAGCAGCCAAGAUCAAUUAUGAGAUCCACGAUAAAGAACUUCUUGCGAUCGUGGAUUCCUUUCAAGAAUGGCGUCAUUAUCUAGAAGGCGCUUCUAGUCCAGUCACUGUGUAUACAGAUCACAAGAACCUCGAGUAUUUCAUGUCAGCACGCGUAUUGAAUCGUCGUCAAGCUCGUUGGAGUAUGUCUUUGUCAAGAUUCGAGUUCAUUAUCACUUAUCGGCCAGAAAAACAACAAGGUUUGUCCGAUGCCCUAUCUAGACGUUUUUAUUUUGCACCAAAAGAAAGAGAUGCAGCUUUUGAGCAACAAAGAACGGUCCUCUUGAAGCCGGAGCAAUUUCAUCUCCGAGCAAUGAAAUCAACAUUGACUAUUGAUUCAACUUUUCUCAAGCAAAUCCAGUCCAGUAUGUCCUCAGACCUUCUUGUUCAUGAUAUCGAGAAUAAUUCUUCCAAGUCUCAUGAUCCUUCUAAGUUCGAGUUCAAAAAUAAUCUAUUAUAUUUUGAAGGACGCCUAUAUGUUCCAGAAGGAGAAGCACGUUUACUUGUUCUUCAAGCACGUCAUGACUUUCCAACAGCAGGGCACUUUGGAUAUAAUAAGACUUUGAAACUCAUAUCAAGAGAUUUUUGGUGGCCACAAAUGUGGAAGUCAGUCAAAGACUUUGUACAAUCAUGUAAUAUUUGUUCAAGAUCAAAAACUCCUCGUCAUCGACCUUACGGACUUCUUCAGCCAUUACCUAUACCAGAACAACCAUGGUCUUCUGUUUCUAUGGAUUUCAUCACAGAUCUUCCAAGCUCAAGAUCUUAUGAUUCUAUAUUUGUGAUAGUAGAUCAUUUCACCAAGAUGGCACACUUUGUGCCAUGUACAAAAUCUAUCACAGGUGAAGAAACAGCUAAGCUUUUCAUUGAUAAUAUCUAUCGCUAUCAUGGAUUACCUAAAGAUAUCAUAUCGGAUAGGGGAACUCAAUUUGUGUCAAGAUUUUGGAGGACCCUUUUCAAGAUUUUAAAAGUGGACAUAAAGCUAUCUUCGGCUUUCCAUCCUCAAACUGAUGGACAAACAGAGCGCGUAAACCAAGUCUUGGAGCAGUAUUUAAGGUGUACUAUCAAUUACCAACAAGAUGAUUGGACAACCCUUCUGCCAUUGGCAGAGUUUGCUUAUAAUAAUACGGUACAUUCUUCCACGCAACAAACACCUUUCUUUGCCAAUUAUGGCUAUCAUCCAUGACUUGAUACUUUUGAUUUUUCAAAAGUUGAUAAUCCUGCAGCAGAAGAUAUGGUAAAUCGGUUGUCAGAGUUAUAUGCAAUAAUGAAGACACAAUUGAAGGAAGCUCAAGAACGACAAAAGAUAAACGUAGAUCUAUAUCGUAAGGAGCAACCACAAGUCAACGUGGGUGAUAAGGUAUGGCUACUUCGUCGCAAUAUCAAGACUACUCGACCUUGUGACAAGUUGGACUAUCGUAGGCUUGGCCCCUUUUCUGUUUCUGAACAGAUCAACCCAGUUGCAUAUCGGUUACAUCUAUCGGAGUCAAUGAAGAUCCAUCCUGUAUUCCAUGUGUCUCUUCUUGAACCAUAUAAGACAAUGGAUAUACAAGGAAGAAGACAUAUGCCACCGCCUCCUAUAGAAGUAGAUAAUAAUGAAGAAUUUGAGGUGGAAGAGAUAUUAGACUCAAGGCGGCGCCGAAAUAAGCUGGAAUAUCUUGUUCAUUGGCGCGGAUAUGAUAUUAGUGAACGCACAUGGGAGCCAUCCAGGAAUCUAGCAAAUGCAUCAGCUAAAAUCAAAGUUUUUCAUCAACGACAUCCAUCAAAAUCAAGAUGAAAAUCUCUCUUAUAAAAGAGACGAGAUUGAGGCAAGAUAACAUUCAAUUUCCUAUCCUUGUUUGUAACUUCUUUGCAUUUGUGACGCUAAUUAGAUGGAGAGCCAACAACCAGCGGAUUCAACUCAAGAACCUUCGUUUGCUGACCUGUCGGACGAGACAUUACGAUUGUCACAACCUUCAAGAAGAUGCAAUCGAGAUGAAGAUCUUCAAGAACGACAUGUUCUUCCUCGAAUAGAUGGUGAGAUACAACGCGUUUGGUAUCACGAUUUGGGAAGGGACUCUCAAUGUUUGGUGAUUUUGCUAGAGGUAGAAACAACUCCUCAUGGUGUUCCGAAUAUUCUAUUCGAAGGAAGUUACGAAGGCCUCAACAAUGAUCAAAUAACUGGGUGGUCUUUCCGCCCUGGUGUGGGACACUACCGAUGGUUGAGAGGCCCUAUCAAUCAUCUUCGAAGAGAACAGAGAUCAGAGUAUGUGGCGAAUACAAUUCGUCGCAUCAUAGAUUUCCUCAACAUAUGAUGACCGCUCCUCGUGGAACUCGUCUCUAAAAGGGGGGGUAAUGUCACGGCCAUAAUCAUGUAAGCUAAUAAUUACAUAUAGAAAUAGGUAGAAGUAAGUAAAAGUAGAUAAAAGUAAGUUAAUUCUAUAAUAUUUAAUAUAGAAGCUUCCUAGAAACUUCCUAGACGCUGCUUUGACUUCAUAGGUGUCUUUAAUUGACUUUUUGGAUUAGAAACAUGGUCAACAAGUUGGCCAUGUGCCACACAUGUUGUUAGCUUGAAGAUCAAGCUAACUAUGUGGCCCACACGUAGAAAAACUUGCCUUGUAAGUCAAGGCAUGUGUCCUACAAAGUCAACACAUAUUGGAGGUCCUAUAGAACGUCGCCACGUAGCCCCUAGUUAGAUAGUAUAUAUAGAGACAAGAGUGAAGGCUUCUUCACUCUUGUCAACUCCUUUCUUGCUUCUAGUCUAGUUUCAAGGGUCUCUAGUUUUCUUGUCUUUUGGCAAUAGCCAUUCUAGUUUCUCUUUUCAAUAUACAUACUUAUUAUUCAUAUUUUGUUACUUUUCUUUGAGUGAAGGCUUACUUGUCUGAACUAUUUUUUCAUCGAGUUCUUGUCCUUGACAUUUGCUCACUUCUCAAUACAAAAAAAUAUCUAAGAAAAAUAGUAGUCCAUAUAUUUUUUAAUACAAAAUAACACUAUAAAUAUUAAAAAAAAAAAAAAAAAAAAAAAAAAAAAAAAACAAUAGUAUUAUUAAACUAUCAUGAACACACUUAGAACUUCAAUUACGAAAGAAUAAUUAAAGCAAUGAAGUGUAUAAAAAAGAAUGAAUGGCUAAGAAGAUAAUAACUAAUAAUUAUUAUUAAGAAAAAGGUCUAAAGGUCAUAAGAAGAACUAACUUAAGAAAUGAAUUAACAAAACCAAUGAAGUUUGUAAUCUUAUUUUUAUUUAUAUCACCAGCAAGUUGUAAGUCUUAGAGUCAAAGCCUUUUAUGUCUUGCAAUAAAAGUUAAUAUAUAACUUAUUGGCAAAAUCUCAAGAAGUCCCUCAAAAAACUUCUUAAAAAGAUCUAUGGUCAAAGUUAAAAUAAAUGAUUAAUAUUAAGCUAUUCUAGAAGUUUCAUAGAGCGCCACCUAAUAUAGUAUCAGAGAUAAGAACUUUAAAAGUAAAAAUAAAUAGAUGAAGUGUAUUUUUUAAAAAACAACAUAAAAAAAUAAUGAUGUAUGUUUAUUCAAGAAGAAAGCAGAAUGGCUAUUGCUAAAGACAAUAAAGCUAUAGACUCUUAGAACUAGACUAAAAGUAAGAAAGGAAUUGAAAAGAAUGAAGCAUGGCUUCACUCUUGCCUCUAUACAUACUAUCUAAGUAGGAGCUAUGUGGUGAUAUUCUAUAGAACUUCCAAUAUGUAUCCAACUUGAGGAAUAAGUAUCUAACUUGCAAAGAAAAUUUUCCAUAUCUACCCCACAUGACUAACUUGUAUCAUAAGUAUUCAACAUAAGCAAUACAUGGCCAAUUUAUAGGUCAAGUUAUUAAUCUAUAAUCACCUACAAACAUAUAAAGUUAAAUUUUUAUCAAUGAAGUUUUUAAGAAGCUUAUUUACAAGAUAUUAUAGUAUUUAUUUAAUUUUACUUCCUUCUACAUAAUUCUUCUUAUUUAAGUAAUUACUCAUAUCAAUUAUGUUUAUUAUCAUAUUCUAUGAAGUUGGCUUGAAAAUGCACCUAGAACUUUGUUGUGGAAAAUAAAAUAGAAUUUGCAACAGGAAAGUCAUAGUAACUCUAAUAGAAUCCUAAAAAAAAUUUAAUUAAAUCUUAAUAAUACUAAUCAAUUUUUAAUCAAAUAAAAAAGAAGUCUUAAAGAAAUAACAAAAAAAAACAUGAAGAAAUUAUAAUUUAAUCUUAAAAAUAUAUGUAUAGUAAAAAUAUCUUUAAAAAAUAUCAAAGAAAUCUUUGAAAAAAAUUAAAAUGAAAACCUUAAAUGAAUCAUAAUAAAAUCCUAAUGAAAUCCUAAAUAAACCUUAAUAAAAUACUAAAUCAAUUCUAACCAAAUCCAAACUAAAUCAUAAUCAAAUCUUAAAUCUUAACCAAAUUCUAAAUAAGAUCUAAACCAAAACUAUCCAAAUCCUAACCAAAUCCUAACAAAACCUUAACCAAAUCCUUGUGAAAUCUUAACAAAAUCCUAAAAAAAUCCUAACCAAUCUCUAAUGUAAUCUUAAACUAAUCUUAAAUAAAUCUUAAAUAAACUCUAAAUCCUAAAUCUUAAAUUAAUCUUAACAUGAACUUAAAUCAAUCCUAAUUAAAUCCUAAAUCCUAAAUUCAAACCAAAGCAUAAUAAAAUCCUAAAGAGAUCCUAAACAAACUCUAAACAAAUCCAAGAAAAAUCAAGUAAAUUCUAAACAAUUCUUGUAGUUGUUUUAAAAUUUCAAUAAAUACUAAUCAAAUCAUUGAUCUCAACUCAAAUUUCACCUACAUUUCAAUCUAUAAGCAAUUAACAUGCAUAUAAAAAAUUUUAAAAAAUCAAACUCAUGAUUCAAAAGAAAAAAUUCCUAAAUCUUUCAAACGUUGGUUGCCUUCCUUUUUCAACAUAGAUGUUAAUUUUUUAGUACUAAUUUCUCCUUGCUGAACUAUUCAAUUGGUUGGUGUAUAGAUUUCAAUAUCAAAAUUGCUCUUACUAACUUUUGCUUCAAUCAAACUAGUAGAUUUUUCACGAGUAUAAAAAUCCUCAAUAACCCUAAAUUUCAAAUAUCUGAGAUCUUAACCCAAUAAAACUCUCAUAUCCUUCAAUCUAAUGAUUUGAUUGAUAUCAAAUUGUAUUAACAUAUUGAAGACGAGCACAAUGAAAAACUCUCAAAAUCUCACUUGUAAAUGUGCAAUGACACUUAUACAAUACCUAAAAUUAUAAACAUCAUUUUACUUCUCAAAAUCUCAAACCAUUGGAUACAUCUUUCACUUUAAAAAGUCCUCAAAAACUCAAUAUAUCUCCAAAUCACAUUAAAAAAUCUCUCAAAAUAACCUUUCAUUAGUUUUUUUCUCAAAUCCUACUCUUUAAACAACUAAAGAACUAUGGAGUCGCUGUAGGUACAUGGCUUUGAGCCUUUAGGUUUGAUUUCAAUCCUAGUUCACAACUGGUCCUCUUUGAGUAUCAAUUCUUAGUGUUUUGGGAUAAAUUUUGUUAAAUCCUAUUCUUAACUUCUUCCUUAAGAUGCUUAUAUGAUUUAUUUUCUUAAUCUAUUUUUUUUUGCCUUAAUUAUGGCCUUACAAAAUAAAUAGAAGUAUCUUUUAUAAGAAGACACUUAUUAAUUUUUACCACCUCCUUAGUUAUUAUUUAUAUUUCUAAGAUAAUUUUUUUAAAUAUUUUCAUUUAAACUCUUCUUUAAUAUGAUUUUUCCUUUCUUAUUUCACCUAAUGGAUGUGUUACAACACCACACUAUGACAUAGUUUAGUUUCUAAGUUACAUACUAUACACUUCUACUUAGUUUUUAAAAUGUUCUAAAAAGAUCUACCAUGAUAUGAAAGAUUCUUUAAAAGUUUUAGAAUAUUCUUUAUAUGUCUAUAAUAUUAUAUAAGAAUAUAUUAUAAUAUUUGUAAUAUUAAAUGAAACUAAAGUAAUAUUUAUACUUUAAAAAAAUGAUGUUAGGAGCUAUAACUUUCGAAUUCUUUGAUUAUCUAAAAUUUAGAUGUUUCUUAGUUUUAAUCAAUCAAAGGAUUUAAAAGUUGUAGAUUUUUAUCUUAACUUCUAAAAUUCAAUAUUUUCUAAAUCUAUACUAAUCAAAAUUUAUAUGCAUCACAAUUAGAUAUAAACAAAAUUAUAUAAUUUUUGUAUGUCAUACUUAUUAAAAUAUUAAAAAAUACUUCACACAUACAUUUAGUUGACAUAUAAUAUUUAUGAAAUUUUAAUACUUCAAUAUCUAAUAAUUUAUAUCUAAUAAAAUAUCUAACAAUAGUUUUUUGUAAAACUUUUUGACUUGUAUCAAUUGAUUUUUUUAAUUAAAAAAAAUAGAUUACUUUAAAUUAAUCUAUUAAACUUUUUAGUUAAGUAUGUUUAAGAAAUAAGAAUAUUUAUUAACAAGAUUAUAAUAUUAAUUGCAUUUCCUAUAGAUUGGAUGUUUAAUUGAUGACAAAGAAGAAUUGGUAUUAAUCAAAGUUAAAUUACAUAGCAUAUUAAUGAAAUGACCAAUCUUAUCUUUGGCUAAAUAAAAAGGAAUAUAAUUAAUUAAAGAGAUCUAUGAUUGGAUUGAUAAAAAAAAAAAAAAAAAAAAAAAAAAAAAAAAACUUAUUAAAUUUUCUAAUAUAAAUUCUUCUUUUUAAACAAAUUCUUAAUAACUUUUCUUAGGGAUUUAAUAAUUUCAUAAGAAUCAAAGGAUAAAUACAUUAAAAGAUAGAUUGCAAGAAAAAAUGCCACAUAGAAACUUACACAUAACAAGAAAGAUUUUAUUUUACAUACAAAAGAAAGUUAUUAAGACUUUUCUAUGUCUAAAUUUAUUUCUGCAAUAAGUCGGUUUUAAGAGAGUAUUUUUUAAUAUGAAAAAAAUAUCAAUAUCCAAAUAUAUACGAUUCUAAAAUAAGAAUAAAAAUGAAAAAUGCGUUGUCUUGAAAUAGAUUAGGUGCAUUUGGUCCUUCAUUAACUGCAGCCCAUAUUCUGUUACACAGGAAGGGACAUCGAAAGACGACAAAGUGAAUGAAUCAAGCAGGAAUGCAUCACAGAACAGAGAAACAACGCCAUGAAGUGGCAAAACUGCACUUUCAACAAUGGUUCAAUUAAGAAAAGUCCCAGCACUUUAUCUGUUGUCGAUUUCACCGCGCGGGAAAAUACAUAUUACAAUACCAACAUGGAAACAUUCACUGCUCGACAAGGAGAGGGAACUACACCACCCGCGAAACCUACCAACGGAUACAUAACUUAAAUUACAUUCAACCCCUCCUUUCAACACAAGCAUUUCUCGUCGUAAGGCAAAUCAACGCUCUUGAUCACGCAAACGCAACCCCAGCAGUCUCAACCGGUUCACCUGUAACAAGCGUUCACAAGACGAUACGUGUCUCAGUUACAUCUUGAAGAUCGAAGCAAACAUCAUUACGAAGAGGCCGCCAGCACACUUUCAAACUAACAAGACUUUCCCCGCUACAUAAUGCCUGUAAGAUUCGACAAAGCAUGCAUUCACCAACUACUCCAAUGCCACAUUACCAAUCUCAAAUUCUAGUGGGUUUCACUUUACCCACAACGCACAAUCGACAACACCAAACCUUAAUCCAUGUAAAUCCUUCUACUGCAUUCCCGGCAACCUAAACCAACGGUCUCUUCAUUCCCCGCAACACACACCUGCCAGGACAAACAUGUCCUCAUACAUCCAUCAAAAAAAACCAAAUUGCUCCUCAAGCACACAAACACCAAAACCUGCCGUCCUGCAAACAAAUCUCCACAUCGCAGCAGCAUUCAUACCACUGCACAUAUGCUCCCACACCACCCACACUUGCAAAAAAAUUACUGGUUCCAUUCAUCCAGUCCCACAAAGAUAUCCACUGCCCAUACCAGUGGCUGCGUUUCCCUACUCCUCUACCUUCUUCUCUUCACUCCCUACUCGUCUGAGCCUUCCGCACCGCACCGACGGGCCUCUACACUCCCCCCGCUGCCAGACUCAUCCUCCAAUGUCCUAUCACACACACUCUAACCAGCCCCCUACCCUCACCACCCUCACCCUCACCCCACCAUCUACGUCAUGAUCUUCGAUAUCACUCCCGCGCCCACCGUCUUGCCUCCCUCCCGGAUGGCGAACCUCAUCUUCUCCUCGCACGCCACCUCGUUGAUCAGCUCGAUCGUCAGCUUCACCCUGUCUCCCGGCACCACCAUGUUCGCCUCCUCGCCCUGGUCCGUCUGGAUGCUCAGAAUUCCUCCCGUGCAGUCCGUCGUCCUCAUGUAGAACUGCGGCUUGUAGCCCUUGAAGAAUGGCGAGUGUCGCCCGCCCUCCUCCUUCUUCAGCACGUACACCGACGCCUCGAACGUCUUGUGCCCCUUGAUCGUCCCCGGCUUCGCCAGCACCAUCCCCCUCUGGAUGUCCACCUUCUGGAUACCUCGCAGCAACACCCCCACGUUGUCGCCCGCCAUCGCCUCGUCCAGCAGCUUCUGGAACAUCUCCAGACCCGUCACCGUCGUGCUCCUCGUCUCCCGCAGCCCCACGAUCUCCACCACGUCUCCCAGCUUCACCACGCCCCUCUCCACACGCCCCGUCGCCACCGUUCCACGCCCCGUGAUCGAAAACACGUCCUCGAUCGCCAUCAAAAACGGCAGCUCCGUCAUCCUCUGCGGCACCGGGAUGUACUGGUCCACGUUGUCCAUCAGCUCGAAGAUUUUGUCCACCCACUUGUCGUCGCCCCUCUUGAUGUUCUUGUUCUCCGGCUUCAUCAGCGCCUCCAGCGCCAGCAGCGCCGAUCCCGACACGAUUGGGAUGUCGUUUCCGGGGAACUCGUACGAGGUCAGCAGCUCCCGAAUCUCCAUCUCCACCAGUUCCAACAGCUCCUCGUCAUCCACCUGCGCAUUCCCCAGUGCCCCUCCCCGUCAGCGCCCCACUCCCGCCAAUUGCCCCAACAAUUCUCACACACCCACCGCUC
rnacentral:lncRNA from 1 species